rnacentral:rRNA from 1 species
AGCCGUGCGGGUCUUACUCUUAAAGCCUAUCGACCUUCCAUAAUUUUCUUUUCUGAUGUUUAUGGCUGACGGGUGAGCAACCUGUGGAUAACCUACCUAUAACACUGGGAUAACUUCGGGAAACCGGAGCUUAUUUUGGAUAAUAUUUUUUUCCCCAUGGUUCUAUAUUGAAAGAAGGUCUUGCUGUCCCUUAUAGAUGGAUCCGCGCUGCAUUAACUAUUUGGUAAGGCAACGGCUUACCAAGGCAACGAUGCAUAAUCGACCUGAUAAGGUGAUCGGCCACACUGGAACUGAAACACGGUCCAUACUCCUACGGGAGGCAGCUGUAGGGAAUCUUCCGCAAUGGGCGAAAGCCUGACGGAGCAACGCCGCGUGAGUGAUGAAGGUCUUCUGAUCGUAAAACUCUGUUAUUACUGAAUAACAUAUGUGUAAGUAACUGUGCACAUCUUGACGGUACCUAUUCUUAAAGCCACGGCUAACUACGUGCCAGCAUCCGCGGUAAUACGUAGGUGGCAAGCGUUAUCCGGAAUUAUUGGGCGUAAAGCGCGCGUAUGCGGUUUUUUAAUUCUGAUGUGAAAGCCCACGGCUCAACCGUGGAGGGUCAUUGGAAACUGGAAAACUUGAGUGCAGAAGAGGAAAAUGGAAUUCCAUGUGUAGCAGUGAAAUGCUCAGAGAUAUGGAGGAACACCAAUGGCGAACGCGACUUUCUGGUCUGUAUCUGACGCUGAUGUGCGAAAGCGUGGGGAUCAAACAGGAUUAAAUACCCUGGCAGUCCACGCCGUACACGAUGAGUGCUAAGUGUUAGGGGGUUUCCGCCCCUUAUUGCUGCACCUUAACGCAUUAACCACUCCGCCUGGGCAGUACGACCGCAAUGUUGAAUCUCAAAGGAAUUGACAGGUGACCCGCACCAGCGGUGGAGCAUGUGCUUUAUUUCUAAAUCUACGAGUAAAACCUUAAACAAUUCUUGAACAUCUUUAUGACCACUUCUACA